rnacentral:rRNA from 1 species
AAUAUUGGACAAUGGGGGAAACCCUGAUCCAGCCAUGCCGCGUGAGUGAUGAAGGCCUUAGGGUUGUAAAGCUCUUUUGUCAGGGAAGAUGAUGACGGUACCUGAAGAAUAAGCACCGGCUAACUUCGUGCCAGCAGCCGCGGUAAUACGAAGGGUGCUAGCGUUGUUCGGAAUCACUGGGCGUAAAGCGCGCGUAGGCGGCCAUUCAAGUCAGGGGUGAAAUCCCACAGCUUAACUGUGGAACUGCCUUUGAAACUGUAUGGCUGGAGUGUCGGAGGGGAUGGCGGAAUUCCUAAUGUAGAGGUGAAAUUCGUAGAUAUUAGGAGGAACACCGGUGGCGAAGGCGGCCAUCUGGACGACAACUGACGCUGAGGCGCGAAAGCGUGGGGAUCAAA